rnacentral:rRNA from 1 species
AUACGGAGGAUCCGAGCGUUAUCCGGAUUUAUUGGGUUUAAAGGGUGCGCAGGCGGCCAUUUAAGUCAGCGGUUAAAUCGUGGGGCUCAACCCCAUUCUGCCGUUGAUACUGGGUGGCUUGAUUGCGGUCGAGGUUGGCGGAGUUCGUUGUGUAGCGGGGAUAUGCAUAGAUAUGACGAAGAACACCGAUUGCGUAGGCAGCUGACCAGACCGCAAAUGACGCUCAUGCACGAAAGUGCGGGGAUCGAACAGGAUUAGAUACCCUGGUAGUCCGCACAGUAAACGAUGAAUACUUGUUUUCGGCGAUAUAAUGUCGGAGGCAAAGCGAAAGCGAUAAGUAUUCCACCUGGGGAGUACGCCGGCAACGGUGAAACUCAAAUGAAUUGACGGGG